rnacentral:lncRNA from 1 species
CUCCCCCCCCCCCCCCCCCCCCCCCACUCCGCCAGCUUCCUUUGGAAUGCACACCCCUUUCAUUCGGAGCAAGGUGGAGGCCCUGUCAGUAAGCGACCCUUCUCCCGAGGUGCAGGCCCUCUGCACUAGUCCUUGGCCGAGGAGCGGGCAGGCUGCCUCCCUCCCACCCUCUCUGUAAUCUGAGGCACGCAGCGAGGACUGCUGCUCCGGCCACUCCGGGGCACCCGCGAUCCCCACUCUUCGGCCAGCUCCCGCUGCCUCUCCUCCUGCGGCUGCUGGUCCAGCGCCCCCGCGGGAGGGUGGGCGCCCAGGUGAGGCUGGCGGCAGGUUCCGGGGGAGCCCCUCGGACAAGCCUGGCUGCUCCCUCAAAGAACCUGCACGGGUGGGAGGACACAGCCUGCGACCUGGAACGAGCCACCCCAUCCUUCAUCACUUGUCUCGCCGAAGUUGGCAUUCAACAGGUAGUUCCCGGGACUUCCACCUGAGAAGUCCAGAGGAUUCCAACACCAUCACACUUUGUGCACGGAGGAUAGCUGCCAAAUUAACGUACCUAAGACAUGAGCUCCAGGACUCAGGGGUUCCCAGUCACCCAGAAAAGAAACUUUGGAUUUUCUUUGGAACAUGCCUUUUUCUUCCUCAUCUAUUCCUCUGAGAAUCGAACCUUCCUUCGAAAUCCAGAUUCAAUUCCCAGUUCCUCCGUGGAGUGUUCCCUCUCUGACCAGAAUGGCUUUGUUCAGAUAGUUGCAAAUAUUUGAUUGGGAUGGGCUGCUGCUUCUACUUGCUACCACACCCAAAAUAUUAAAAAGGAAACUCAUUGAGAAUUGUCUUGGGUAAACAAUUUACCAAGGUUACAAUUUAAAGUAGGAAAAAAAAAACACAAACUUUCAAAAUAUGGAGUAGCAAAUACACUUGAAAAAAAACCCACAGGUCUGUGUUGCUGAAUUUGGACCAUCCGGAGCUACUGCUCAGGAGCGGAGCAGGUGGGAAAGCAGGGUUCUGAAGAUGGUGGCAUUUUAGUUUCUUCAGAACCAAGCCUCACUGGUGCUUACUAGACUGGGCAACAUCAGGCCUGACAAUGGUCUCCCUCCAGUCCUUAACGGGGUGGUCAGUCACUGCAGCCCAUCAGGUGAUAAAUGGAUGAACAGAAGUGAUAUAUCCAUACAGUGGCAUAUUAGCCUUCAAGGGAUGAAGUACUGAUGCAUGCUACAAGAUGGAUGAACCUUGAAAGCAAGGUUUUCAGUGCUAAGUGAAAGAAGCUGGACACACAGGACCAUGUGGUACAUGAUCCCAUUUAUAUGAAAUGCCGAGAAUUGGCAAAAUCUACAGAGAUAGAAAAUAGAUUAGUAGUUACCAGGAACUAGGGGGUAGGUGAAAAUGGGUAGUAAUGGCUAAUGGGUUUAUUUUGGGGGUGAUGAAAAUGUUCUGGGAUUAGAUAAUUUUGUGAUGGUUGCACAACUCUGUAAAUGUAUUAAAAGCUACUGAAUUGCACAGUUUUUUUUUAAUUGCAUACUUUACAAGGGUGAAUUUAAUGGUAUGUGCAGUAUAUCUCAGUACAGUUGUAAAAUAAAUAUUACAAAAUCAUCAGUGGUUUUUUUUUUCAGGCAAACACACAUAUAACACACAGGAUACUGUGUAAGACUGUUCUGUGUUCUUUGAAGUCUAAGUUCAAAUCUCACACCCU